GUCAAGUCAUCAUGGCCCUUACGGCCAGGGCUACACACGUGCUACAAUGGUCGGUACAAAGGGUUGCCAAGCCGCGAGGUGGAGCUAGUCCCAUAAAACCGAUCGUAGUCCGGAUCGCAGUCUGCAACUCGACUGCGUGAAGUCGGAAUCGCUAGUAAUCGUGAAUCAGAACGUCACGGUGAAUACGUUCCCGGGCCUUGUACACACCGCCCGUCACACCAUGGGAGUGGGUUGCUCCAGAAGUAGCUAGUCUAACCGCAAGGGGGACGGUUACCACGGAGUGAUUCAUGACUGGGGUGAAGUCGUAACAAGGUAGCCGUAGGGGAACCUGCGGCUGGAUC
rnacentral:rRNA from 1 species